UACGAAGGGGGCUAGCGUUGCUCGGAAUGACUGGGCGUAAAGGGCGCGUAGGCGGUGAACACAGUUAGGCGUGAAAUUCCCGGGCUCAACCUGGGGGCUGCGUUUAAUACAUGUUCGCUUGAGUUCGGAAGAGGGUCGUGGAAUUCCCAGUGUAGAGGUGAAAUUCGUAGAUAUUAGGAAGAACACCAGUGGCGAAGGCGGCUCACUGGUCCGGUACUGACGCUGAGGUGCGAAAGCGUGGGGAGCAAACAGG
rnacentral:rRNA from 1 species